rnacentral:rRNA from 1 species
CCCUAUGGGGUGCAGCAGUCGCGAAACCUUUACAAUGCACGAAAGUGUGAUAGGGGGAUCCCAAGUGCUAAUGCUUUGCAUUGGCUUUUGCCAAGAGUAAACACCUUGGCGAAUAAGUGGUGGGUAAGACUGGUGCCAGCCGCCGCGGUAACACCAGCGCCACGAGUGGUAACCGUGUUUAUUGGGCCUAAAGCGUCCGUAGCUGGUUUUGUAAAUUCUUUGUUAAAUCAUCGAGCUUAACUCGAUGACCGCAGGGAACACUGCAAGACUUGGAGCCGGGAGGAGUCAGAAGUAUGUCAGGGGGCGCGGUAAAAUGCAUUAAUCCCUGAUAGACUACCUAUGGCGAAGGCAUCUGACCAGAACGGGUUCGACAGUGAGGGACGAAGGCUAGGGGAGCGAACCGGAUUAGAUACCCGAGUAGUCCUAGCAGUAAACGCUGCGAGCUAGAUGUUAGACAUUUUCCGUGAAUGUCUUGUGUCGUAGAGAAGUCGUUAAGCUCGCCGCCUGGGAAGUAUGGUCGCAAGACUGAAACUUAAAGGAAUUGGCGGGGGAGCGCUACAAGGGGUGCGGCGUGCGGUUUAAUCUAACUCUACACAGAAAAUCUCACCAGAAGCGACGGCAGGAUGAAAGUCAGGUUAAAGUUCUUACUAGACAAGCCGAGAAGUGGUGCAUGGCC